AAGAAAGAUAUACAUUGAAUAUCUUCUGCACCAAAUUCAUAAACUGUACGAGGUAUAUUUACAUCCAUGAAAACUAAGGUAUAAUACUUAAAAUAUCUCUGAUGGAAUUGGCACAUAAUUCUUUCGUUGUUACUCUCUUUGUUCUUUUAUCUAAACUAUUAGGAUAUAUUGUGUGUAUCUUUUUAUUAUUGGUAGAUAUUCUUUCAUUAUUGUACAGUCCUAUAGUUGAUAGGAUUUAAUACCUCUCUGUACUGUAUAUAUAUACUUUUGUGAGCAAUACGAGAAAAUUAAUUCUCCCAAAACUCUCUACAUGGUAUUAUACGCUAGUGGCUUAUCGCCAAAGAAACCCUAAUUCUUACCUCCAGCGCCGUCGAUCUUCACGGUCAGCCGCCUCUCUCCGGCGUCUUGCCGCGCCGCCGCUGCACUAAUCUGCAGCCCUCUCUCUCGACGUUGAUCAUCGCCUCCUCUCCUUUGCCUCGCGCUUCAUGGCUGCUACGACAUCAAACGAUCUUCUCCAGCCGAUUGCCAUCAAUGCAUCGGCUCAGAUCCCACUCAAAUUAGAUUCCACUAAUUACCUGGCGUGGAAAUUCCAAUUUCGAACCCU
rnacentral:lncRNA from 1 species